UUGCAGAAUUCCGCGAAUCAUCGAGUUUUUGAACGCAAGUUGCGCCCGAGGCUUGACCAAGGGCAUCUCUGCCAGAGCGUCACCG
rnacentral:rRNA from 1 species